rnacentral:rRNA from 1 species
UGGGGAUGACGUCAAAUCAUCAUGCCCCUUAUGAUUUGGGCUACACACGUGCUACAAUGGACAAUACAAAGGGCAGCGAAACCGCGAGGUCAAGCAAAUCCCAUAAAGUUGUUCUCAGUUCGGAUUGUAGUCUGCAACUCGACUACAUGAAGCUGGAAUCGCUAGUAAUCGUAGAUCAGCAUGCUACGGUGAAUACGUUCCCGGGUCUUGUACACACCGCCCGUCACACCACGAGAGUUUGUAACACCCGAAGCCGGUGGAGUAACCUUUUAGGAGCUAGCCGUCGAAGGUGGGACAAAUGAUUGGGGUGAAGUCGUAACAAGGUAGCCGUAUCGGAAGGUGCGGCUGGAUCACCUCCUUU